AAGGCGCUGGUCAACUGGGCACGGUCCAGCCGGUUUGCCGGAUCCGCCGAUCGCGCGGCGGUGCGGGACCAUGUGUUCGAUGCGCUGCGCCGGA
rnacentral:tRNA from 1 species